rnacentral:rRNA from 1 species
UGGGGAAUCUUGCGCAAUGGGCGAAAGCCUGACGCAGCCAUGCCGCGUGAAUGAUGAAGGUCUUAGGAUUGUAAAAUUCUUUCAGCGGGGACGAUAAUGACGGUACCCGCAGAAGAAGCCCCGGCUAACUUCGUGCCAGCAGCCGCGGUAAUACGAAGGGGGCUAGCGUUGCUCGGAUUUACUGGGCGUAAAGGGCGCGUAGGCGGAUUGACAAGUUGGGGGUGAAAGCCCGGGGCUCAACCUCGGAAUUGCCUUCAAAACUGUCAGUCUUGAGUUCGGGAGAGGUGAGUGGAACUCCGAGUGUAGAGGUGAAAUUCGUAGAUAUUCGGAAGAACACCAGUGGCGAAGGCGACUCACUGGCCCGAUACUGACGCUGAGGCGCGAAAGCGUGGGGAGCAAACAGGAUUAGAUACCCUGGUAGUCCACGCUGUAAACGAUGAGUGCUAGUUGUCGGCAGGCAUGCCUGUCGGUGACGCAGCUAACGCAUUAAGCACUCCGCCUGGGGGAGUACGGUCGC